AAGGCACAUUAAGGAACUUGGUCUCUAGCUACAGAGCAAGGGUUUGCAGCAGAAGCGGUGACACGGAUCAGAUCUGCUCUCUGGCGGCAGAAAGGAGGCCGGACUGUGCAGGGGGGAGCGGGGCAAGGCUCUGGGCACCUGAGGCCUCUGCGGGCCUCCGCGGGCCUCCACGGCAGGUUCCGUUUGAAGAAGCCGACCUGCAGGAAGACCAGAGCUGAGUGAGCAGACAGUCCCUGGAGCACAGCUGGUCCCGGCAAAACAUGAAAGCACCCUUUAUGUUAAUAAACCACCGACACCUGGUUCCACUCCAGGGAUGGGCAAGAGCGCCUGCCACACCUGGUUCUUGGCAAAAUGCUAAAAA